AUGCACUUGAUUACUUUAUUCACCAAGAUCAUUGGUGUGGUGACCAUCGCUCUCGUUUCCAUAGUUUCCAUCUUGGGCCUGAUCUGCCUAAGCCGAGCGGUGUAUUUUCAGCUGUGGAUCAACAGAAGAGGCUACCAGCGACUUAACUACUUCAACGGGCCGUGGCUGACACGGAUAACACUAGUAUUGGUUGCCUUCUGGUGGGGUAUUGGAGAAGUACUUCGGCUCACUUUCGUGAAUGGAGAGGGGAGGUUCACUUCUGACCAGAUGUGGCAAGCAAAUGUGUGCAAAUUCUAUAUCAUCUCAAAUUUGGGGUUUGCAGAGCCAGGAUUGUUCUUGUUGCUCGCUUUCCUUCUCAGUGCAGCUUUACAGAAGCAAGAGCUUGGUACCUUAAACCAGAAGUGGAAUCAAAAAACCAUACGUGCCAUGUUUAUUAUCUGCCUUCCUUCGUUUGUCUGGGAAGCUUGUGUUGUUUUCAUUGGUCCUCGUGUUGCUUCAGAUGGUGGCCAAGCAUCAAAUCUUGGGAAGUUCUGGUAUUCAGCCUCAACAUUCCACAAUGGCAAUGUCACAUGCACAUACCCACUGUUGAGCAGCAUAUUUCUUGGGGCAUUCUACAUCAUAUUGGCAAUUUAUGUGAUGUUUGUUGGAGGACAGAUGCUGUCUUUGGUGAUCAACAAGGGGCUCCGACGGAGGAUAUACAUGCUAAUAUUUGCCACUAUGAUAUUACUUCCCCGAGCUACACUUCUUGGGCUCUCCAUUGUUGUAUGGCCAGGUGAAACAGCCCAUGAAACUCUCGUAUUUACCUCCUUCCUGGUGCUGAUGCUUGCUGCCAUGGUUGGUAUUGUGAUUUUGGUGUAUUUCCCGGUUGCUGAUGCCUUUGCUAUAGUUGAUCAAGGGAACAUUGAGAUGCAAGCGGAUCAGGAGACUAUCCUAUGA
rnacentral:rRNA from 1 species